rfam:Ictidomys tridecemlineatus contig027262, whole genome shotgun sequence.
GAGGUUAUGGCUUAGCGGUACAGCACUCGCCUAGCAAGUGUGAGGCCCUGGGUUCGAUCCUCAGCACCAUCU